rnacentral:misc_RNA from 1 species
GCAAUUAACUAAUUUAAUCUGGAAUUACAACACAAAAUACAAACUGAUCAUAUACUGCAUUACGUCAAAUGACAAACUUGUAUACACAAGCGAAAGGAAAGUUUUCAUGCUUAGUCGACAUAUUAGGGUUUUACACAGAAAGCCAAGACCUAACAUAUUAAACAUGGAUCUUUUUUCACAAAAACAUCCAAAUACUAGAAAACCAACCCACUUCCUUGCACAAAAACCUAAUUAACACCCACAAGACAAACUAACUUAGUUUAAUUAUUGGGUUUGUUUUUUUAAUCUCCCCCAUUCCAGAGCUUUCAAAAUUCAGAGGAGACUUAAAGCAAGCCAAGCCAAGCUUUGAUGACAUCCAUAUUAUGUAUGUAUCAAACAGAAACCCUAGGCACAGCUUUGCACACCAGGGAGUUCUUCAUCUCCAGGGAGAGCUUCAGGAUUUCAGACAAAUCGACUGCAGACUCACCAGCUACCCAAUUCAGAUUCUGGAGCAGUUGAGCAAGCCAAAGCUCCACAGUUGCUAAGCCCAUAGCCUUACCAGGACAAACCCUUCUACCUGAACCGAAGGGAGCCAACCUGAGAUCACAACCCAUGAUGGCAACAUCUUCCUCCAUGAACCUUUCCGGCUUAAAUUCCUCCGGCUCCGACCAGAACUGCUCAUCGUGGGUUAUUGACCACAUGUUGACCAUAGCAGUGGUGCCGGCAGGGAUAAAAUGGGGGCCUAUUUUGAUGUCAUGGAUGGCUAACCUAGCCCAGGAGAGGAGAGGACCUGGUGGGUGCAUUCUUAAUGUUUCUUUCACAAUGGCACGGAGGUAAGGGAGAUUAGGCAGGUCAGAAUCGGAUACUGGCCGGCUAGUGCCCACGACAGUGUCGAUUUCAGACUGGGCUUUGGCUUGGAUAUCUGGGUGUAGAACCAUUCUUGCAAGAAUCCAUUCAAGAAGGAUUGCCACUGUAUCAGUUCCCCUAAAGAUCAUUUCCCAUAAAACAGCAAUCAUAUCAGAGUCGCUGAGCCUGUUUUCCUCCUGGUAAUCUAGCAACAAGUCAACAAAGUCACCUGAAUUUUCAUCAACACCUCCUCCAUUCUCAGCCCUCCUCACCUGGUGUUCCUCUAUGAUCUUCCCUACAAAAACAUUCACUCUUGAGACCAGCUUUCUACACCUCUUCCUCACUCCUUGCAAAUCCAACCAACCCAGGAAGGGAAAAUGGUCACUCCAGUUAAAAAUUCCUAGUAACUCAUAACCUUCUCUCACCAAACCCUCAAGUUCACAGGCAUCAACAUUGUUGUGAUCAUUGAACUCAUAACUCCUCCCAAAAACACUUCUCAUGACAUUGUUUAGUGACCCAAAGUGCAACACCUUCCUAACCUCUGCCACGCCAUCUCUCUCCACUAACCCCUUUAUCUCAGCCACCAUUUUUUGCCCUAUAUCUGCCCUAAAGUGGCCAAAAGAAGCGAUUCUCUUAGGGCUAAACAAAUGGGUAGCUGAUAUUCUCCUCAAAUUCCUCCAGUACUCCCCAUAAGGUGCAAAGCCCAUUGCCCUGUGGAAUAAAAGCUCAUAAGCGGAUUCUUUGACAGGUCUAUCAGCGAAAGCUGAGCUGUUCAAGAUCUCUUUAGCCGUUUCAGGAUGGCUAGAGAUAAUGAAGCGAGUGAAGCCCACAGAAAAGGCCAUCAACGACUUCGAUUUGACCAGCUGAGAGGUUUUAGCAAGAACUCUAUGAGUCAAGGAACCAGUAAAAGCCAAGACCAUCCCAAUGAAAGGCCAACCUGCAGGGCCAGGAAUAGCUGUUCGGGAUUGAACAUUAAACUUUGUCUUGUACAAGGCCCAAGCAAGGCCUCCUGGAGCUAACCAAAAGGAGAAAAUGGAAACAAAGAGAACGAGGCAGAGAACGACCUCCAUACUGAAAAAUGGCGAAGCCCCAGUACGAGAAAUGAAGGGAAAACACUCAAACACGAAUUCUGGUGACAUUUUGGUGAUUCGUUAGUUCACAAAUGAAGAGAAGCAAGAAGACUUUUUAAUUUCAGGGAAGACUAAGAAAAAAAAAAGGCUAUGCUUUGCUAAGUGCGCAAAUGGGUAGUUAUUUAAACACAGGAAGAAAACGGUAAUGAAGGCUCGAAACGAAGGAAAAGGAAGCUGUAAAGACACUGAAGCGUAAAGCUUUGUAGGUAGAGGUAGAGGGAG